GACGAACGCUGGCGGCGUGCCUAACACAUGCAAGUGGAGCGACGAACCAGGCUUCGGCCUGGGGCAAAGCCGCGAACGGGUGAGUAACACGUGGGUAACCUGCCCUGAUGAUUGGGACAACCCGAGGAAACUCGGGCUAAUACCAAAUGUGCCCUUCGGCCAUAAGGCCGCCGGGGAAAGGAAGCUUCGGCCUCCGCAUCUGGAUGGGCCCGCGGCCCAUUAGCUUGUUGGUGAGGUAACGGCNCACCAAGGCGACGAUGGGUAGCUGGUCUGAGAGGACGAUCAGCCACACUGGGACUGAGACACGGCCCAGACUCCUACGGGAGGCAGCAGUGGGGAAUCUUGCGCAAUGCGCGAAAGCGUGACGCAGCAACGCCGCGUGGGGGAAGAAGGCCU
rnacentral:rRNA from 1 species